CCUACGGGAGGCAGCAGUGAGGAAUAUUGGUCAAUGGGCGAGAGCCUGAACCAGCCAAGUCGCGUGAGGGAGUACUGCCCUAUGGGUUGUAAACCUCUUUUGUCGGGGAGCAAAAGCCGGACGUGUCCGGCUGUGAGAGUACCCGAAGAAAAAGCAUCGGCUAACUCCGUGCCAGCAGCCGCGGUAAUACGGAGGAUGCGAGCGUUGUCCGGAUUUAUUGGGUUUAAAGGGGGCGCAGGCGGAGUUUUAAGUCAGCGGGAAAAUCGUGGGGCUAAACCCCAUCCAGCCGUUGAAACUGGGGAUCUAGAGUGUGCGAGAGGUAUGCGGAAUGCGUGGUGUAGCGGUGAAAUGCAUAGAUAUCACGCAGAACCCCGAUUGCGAAGGCAGCAUACCGGUGCACAACUGACGCUCAGGCACGAAAGCGUGGGUAUCGAACAGGAUUAGAUACCCCGGUAGUC
rnacentral:rRNA from 1 species